AGGAGUGGGUCUUGUUGCAUACCGUUUGGCGCUACCCCCAAGCCUUGGAAAUGUGCACAACGUCUUUCAUGUGUCGCAGGUGCGGAAAUACGUGUUCGACCCAAAGCACGUGAUUCACUAAAAAGAAGUCGCUUUGAACCCAGACUUGAGCUACGAAGAGAGACCCCAAAUGAUUUUGGGACCGAAAGAUCCAGAAUGUGAGAAUUAAACAUGUUGCUUGUGUGAAAGUACUUUGGGAAAAUCAUGUGCAUGAAGAAGCCAUGUGGGAGAAUGAGGACAGGAUGAUGGAACUGUACCCAAAACUCUUUACUUGAGGGUAACAAAUUUCGGGACGAAAUUUCUGUUAAGGUUGGUAGGAUGUAACGCCCCACUUUUUGAACUCUAAUUUUCGAACCCUAAAGUACUUGCAUUUAAUGCUUUUAAUGUUGCGAAGUCAGUGGAUUAAUUGUCGAGUGGAAUUAUUGUUGGAUACUUUUCGUGACCAAAUUUUGAGUUGGAAUUUUUGACUAGGUCAGCUUUGUUGAAUAUGUGACAUGGUUGUUUUUGAAUAAUUGAUGUGGGGUGAAACUAAUUGUUUUUGAAUAAAUGAAAAUUUGUUAUUAGAGCGAGAAAUUGUGAAGUACAUCACAAUGCGAAUGUAAAUAAUUACUUUCCGUGAGGAAUGUUUAUUGGACUCGAUUCCGUAUUGGAUCCGAUAAAUUGAAUAAAUAAUAUAAAAAUUUAGUCUAUGAUAAUUAAAUUGUGGGCGGCAUAAUUUAAUUAAAAUACAAUGAAUUAUACAAAUCAAUUUAAAUCUUCUUCCUGUUGACUUGGUCACCAAUUCGAUAAUUCAAUUUAAUUAAAGAUUCUUAGAGAUUUUCCUCCUCCGUGAUGAAGUAUUCCUCCCCCGUGAUAUGCAAUAAAAUAGUAAACAAAUUCAAUUUAAUUCAAAAAAAAAGGGAAGAAUUCGAAAACCUCCCUCAACCCACAUUAAAAAUCGUUUCCCCUUUCAGGCGUCUUCCUCUCCUCCCAUCAAAUCAUUUUCCAAAAUUAAACCACCAAUCAGCCUUUAAUUCCAAUUAAUUGAGAAUCAAUUACCACAAAUUCUCUUAUAAAUCAUAGUCUUUCUACCCUCGCCGCUUCCACAAUUCCUUCCCAAAUCAAGUUCCACUUCUGCAAGAAUUCACAAGAACAAGGCUGCGUUUCUUCCUAUUCCAGUCGGAACAGAUUCAAGAAACCGAGAGCUAAAGCGAGGGGGUCCCUGUGUCGUUCAGUUGCAAAUCUGCAAAUUGAAGGUGAAUCAUCGCAAGUGAAACGUGAUACCAAGGGGAAGAAAGUACUUGAAAGUUUAGCAGUCGAGGUUGAGCGGCGACGAGAAUAUGGUGGUGUUGAGCAAGUAAUUGGAGAAUAAAUUUUUAUCUUUGAACUAUGAGUGUCGUCGUGUCUUCACACAUGACGUCACUCUUUCUCUUGGUCGUUUCCGCUGUGACAUUUCCUUUACUUAUCAGUUACUGGGCCUGCAACUUAAGUUGUUUGGAUAUUAAAUGCUUGGGAUUUUACUAGUUUAUGUCAAAUUCUUGUUCGUUUUCUUUGAAUAUUAAAUUUUGGCCCAACUCAUUAUUGAAACCCUAGUUCUCUUCGCCUGAUUA